rnacentral:rRNA from 1 species
AUUGAACGCUGGCGGCAGGCCUAACACAUGCAAGUCGAGCGGCAGCAUGCUUAGUAGCAAUACUAAGUGAUGGCGAGCGGCGGACGGGUGAGGAACACGUAGGAACCUGCCCAAGAGAGGGGGAUAACUAAGGGAAACUUUAGCUAAUACCGCAUAAUCUCUGAGGAGAAAAGCUGCCCGUAAGGGUAGCGCUUUUGGAGGGGCCUGCGUCCGAUUAGCUAGUUGGUGAGGUAAAAGCUCACCAAGGCGAUGAUCGGUAACUGGUCUGAGAGGCCGACCAGUCACACUGGGGCUGCGACACGGCCCGGACUCCUACGGGAGGCAGCAGUGGGGAAUCUUGGACAAUGGGGGCAACCCUGAUCCAGCGAUGCCGCGUGGGUGAAGAAGGCCUUCGGGUUGUACGGCCCUUUAGGCUGGAAGAAGUGUGCGGGAUGAAUAAUCCUGUACAUUGACGGUACCAGCAGAGUAAGCACCGGCAAACUCUGUGCCAGCCGCCGCAGUAA